rnacentral:misc_RNA from 1 species
UCUCCGUUGGUGAACCAGCGGAGGGAUCAUUACCGAGCUUACAACUCCCAAACCCCAUGUGAACCUUACCAAACGUUGCUUCGGCGGGAUGCCCCGGGCGCGGGCCGCAAGGCCUCAGCCCCGGAACCAGGCGCCCGCCGGAGGCCCAAACCAAACUCUUGUUUUUGUAGAAUCUUCUGAGUGGCCUUUUAGGCAAAAAAUGAAUCAAAACUUUCAACAACGGAUCUCUUGGUUCUG